GUCCUUCGGGAUUCUUAAAAGCUUUCCAGCUGAGAGUCGAACCUGACCAAGGAAAGGAUGAUCAUAUGGCCGCAAACAACAUCAGGUUCAACUGCAGUCAAGGUCAUUUGCUUCAGGGUGAUGGCACAGGCUGGGGUAAUUGGGGCAAAUGGAGCUCAGCGUGUGAUGGAAGAGGAAUCUGCGGCAUCAAGACGCGGGUACAAAAGCGACAGUGGAGUGGAGAUGACACCGCUCUCAAUGACGCGCAAAUGUACUGCUGUGAUUAAGGUGUAGGAGGAUGACAACAAGAACAGCAAGAAGACAAUUGAUCAUCAUACUACAAUCAGCUAACAUGAACCAUGUCAUACAACAGUUUUGUAAGGGAUAAUUCACAGUCAGUCGGUCAUUAUCACAAAACAAAGCCUACAAGAAUCUGAGGCUGACUGGACAUCAUCCCACCCUAUUAUUGAAUUUGAUAUUAUUUUAUUCUAGUAUAUUAGUGAUUCUUCUAUCCACAAGUUUCCUACGCCCCAUGAGGCCUUGCGUCAAAGGUGGGAGCGUCUUCCGGUUCUAAGUAAACAAGCUAGACUUGACCGACGUGACACUCAUUCAUUCAACAGUUGACAGUAAUUCAAGAUUUAACGAUCCAAACUUGCGAACGUUUGUUUUUUACUUAAAGAUUUAAGAUUCCGGCAUCAAUAUUUGAACAAUGUUUUACAAUAAAAAAUGUUACAGUAAUAGUAAUUUAUUAAUUUAUGUCAGGAGUGCACACUCAAUCAUGCUGAAUCUAACUGAUCAUUUAUAUUGACAUAAAAA